rnacentral:misc_RNA from 1 species
GAUGAAGAACGCAGUGAAAUGCGAUACGUAAUGUGAAUUGCAGAUUUCAGUGAAUCAUCGAAUCUUUGAACGCACAUUGCGCCCCCUGGCAUUCCGGGGGGCAUGCCUGUCCGAGCGUCAUUUCUGCCCUCCAGCCCGGCUGGGUGUUGGGCGCUGUCCCCCCGGGGACACGCCCCAAAGGCAGUGGCGGCGCCGCGUCGGGUCCUCGAGCGUAUGGGGCUUUGUCACCCGCUCGGGACGGACUCGUCGGCGCUGGUCUUCCUCCAGGCGACCCUUCGGGGCUCGUCUUCCUUCGGUUGACCUCGGAUCAGGUAGGGUUACCCGCUGAACUUAAGCAUAUCAAUAAGCGGAGGA